rnacentral:rRNA from 1 species
GAUGAACGCUGGCGGCGUGCCUAAUACAUGCAAGUCGAGCGAACGGACGAGAAGCUUGCUUCUCUGAUGUUAGCGGCGGACGGGUGAGUAAUACGUGGAUAACCUACCUAUAAGACUGGGAUAACUUCGGGAAACCGGAGCUAAUACCGGAUGAUAUUUUGAACCGCAUGGUUCAAAAGUGAAAGACGGUCUUGCUGUCACUUAUAGAUGGAUCCGCGCUGCAUUAGCUAGUUGGUAAGGUAACGGCUUACCAAGGCAACGAUGCAUAGCCGACCUGAGAGGGUGAUCGGCCACACUGGAACUGAGACACGGUCCAGACUCCUACGGGAGGCAGCAGUAGGGAAUCUUCCGCAAUGGGCGAAAGCCUGACGGAGCAACGCCGCGUGAGUGAUGAAGGUCUUCGGAUCGUAAAACUCUGUUAUUAGGGAAGAACAUAUGUGUAAGUAACUGUGCACAUCUUGACGGUACCUAAUCAGAAAGCCACGGCUAACUACGUG